UAUAACAGGAUAAUGUAUAGAAUAUCAAGGUCCAGAGUGUAUAACUGGGUAAUGUAUAGAAUAAAGGUUGAGUUUAUAACUGGAUAAUGUAUAUAAUAUCAAGGUUGAGUUUAUAACUGGAUAAUGUAUAGAAUAAAGGUUGAGUUUAUAACUGGGUAAUGUAUAGAAUAUCAAGGUUCAGAGUUUAUAACUGGGUAAUGUAUAGAAUAUCAAGGUUGAGUUUAUAACUGGAUAAUGUAUAGAAUAUCAAGGUUCAGAGUUUAUAACUGGAUAAUGCACAUGUUGAGGUCCAGUGUGAGGAUAACAUAGCAUCAUAUAGAGAACCAGUGUGUGUAUGACUGGAUAAUGUAGCUUCAUAUAGAGGACCCGUGUGUGUAUGACUGGAUAAUGUAGCUUCAUAUAGAGGACCAGUGUGUGUAUGACUGGAUAACAUAGCAUCAUAUAGAGGACCAGUGUGUGUAUGACUGGAUAAUGUAGCUUCAUAUAGA
rnacentral:lncRNA from 1 species